rnacentral:rRNA from 1 species
AUCUAUGGCCAUGCCACUCUGAACGUGCCCAAUCUUGUCUGAUCUUGGAAGCUAAGCAGGGUUGGGCCUGGUUAGUACUUGGAUGGGAGACCACCUAGGAAGACCAGAUGCUGUAGGUG